rnacentral:rRNA from 1 species
UGGGGAAUAUUGCACAAUGGGCGCAAGCCUGAUGCAGCCAUGCCGCGUGUGUGAAGAAGGCCUUCGGGUUGUAAAGCACUUUCAGCGGGGAGGAAGGUGGUGAACUUAAUACGUUCAUCAAUUGACGUUACUCGCAGAAGAAGCACCGGCUAACUCCGUGCCAGCAGCCGCGGUAAUACGGAGGGUGCAAGCGUUAAUCGGAAUUACUGGGCGUAAAGCGCACGCAGGCGGUUUGUUAAGUCAGGUGUGAAAUCCCCGGGCUCAACCUGGGAACUGCAUUUGAAACUGGCAAGCUAGAGUCUCGUAGAGGGGGGUAGAAUUCCAGGUGUAGCGGUGAAAUGCGUAGAGAUCUGGAGGAAUACCGGUGGCGAAGGCGGCCCCCUGGACGAAGACUGACGCUCAGGUGCGAAAGCGUGGGGAGCAAACAGAUUAGAUACCCUGGUAGUCCACGCUGUAAACGAUGUCGAUUUUGGAGGUUGUGCCCUUGAGGCGUGGCUUCCGGAGCUAACGCGUUAAAUCGACCGCCUGGGGAGUACGGCCGCAAGGUU